UUUACCUUCUUCCAUCUUGCAAGUGAAGAACUUCCUCCUUGUAUGGAUGAUAUUGGAUAAGUUUUUGCUUUCAUAGAUAUUACAAAGAAUCUUCCAUGCUUCCACUGAUCCUUUGCAAGAGAUAAUGUGGGAGAAGUUGGCUUCAUCCACAUUGGUUGCAAUCAAUCCAAAAGCCUUCUUUUCACAACGUUUAAAGUCCUUCUUCUCCUUCAUAUGAGCAUCUUUGCU
rnacentral:lncRNA from 1 species